rnacentral:rRNA from 1 species
GACGAACCGUGCAAGCGUUAUUCGGAAUCACUGGGCUUAAAGGGCGCGUAGGCGGGCUCCCAAGUCGGUGGUGAAAUCUUUCGGCCCAACCGGAAAAGUGCCGCCGAUACUGGGAGUCUCGAGGGAGGUAGGGGUCGAUGGAACUUCCGGUGGAGCGGUGAAAUGCGUAGAUAUCGGAAGGAACGCCGGUGGCGAAAGCGAUCGACUGGACCUCUUCUGACGCUGAGGCGCGAAAGCCAGGGGAGCAAACGGG